UCUUGCAUUGCCUCACUCAACCUGGGUUUGAUGUGUUUAAUUACUAUAGCAUCACAACCUCUUUGAGUGAGCUACAGCAGGU
rfam:Lucilia cuprina strain LS Scaffold250, whole genome shotgun sequence.